GCCAGGCUGCACCUCUCCUAGAGCCAUUUAAGAGCUGACUGCCAGUGGGGAAGGAUCUCUCCAGGAGAUCCAGUUCACCAGAGCUUCCUACGUGACCCCAGGAGAGGGCAGAAGUGAUCAUCCUUCACUGCACAGCAAAUGGGCUCAGGGAACUGAUUCAGGACAAAACUAUCAAGGAAAUGCAGGCAAACUAUUUCAUUCUUUUUGGCUGAACAAAAAGAGAGAAUUUGUGACCUUCCACAAUGAACACUCACACAGACCCCACAAGAACAGCAUUCCCGAUGCGUUUCUCCUUGACAUGGAAGUUUAGUUCUGAAGCACGAUACUGACUUUGGACAAACUACACUACUUGCAACUAAAGCAGCAAGCUCAAAAUCACUCCACGUCUUCAGGUGAGAAAUUCUUUAGUUUGUCUGACCUACUGAAGUAACAAGCGACAGAUGACUUUCGUUAUGAAGUAGCAAAUGGCUCUAUGUGAAAUUACAUUUCUAAAGCACUGAGGAACAUGGCUUCCUCUAUUUAGAGAAAAAGCAUUUGAAAAUUUUCCUAGAAAAAUAUGGUAUAAUUACAACUACUGUUUGAAAUUAUUAGCAGAACUCUUCAUGUUUUAUAAGAAGGCAUACUAAGUAAUACACAAAUACAGGCUACAUGGAGUUUUAACAGAAGAUGACAAUCAUCAAUGAAAAUCAUUAUAAAGGGAAAGAAAUGAAUGAGUUCACAUCCCAGGAGUGUAAGGAUGGGUUUUGUUGUUUUUUUUUUUUUUUUUUUACUUUAGACAGCAUUCUUUCCAAUUUCUAGAUUUUAGAUAUUUUAUUUUAGAAUUGUCACAGCAGUCCUACAGUCCUACUUUUACAAGCCUUUCCAGUAGCUCCUUUUUCACCACUGGGUCACGAGUCUUUCUGCUUUACGAACAAUCUCCUCAACUAGGAUCUUUGUCUUGGUUCAUAGAAGACAUUGUAUGACUGACUGUGAUUUGUCUCAGACACAUUACAUAAACAAAAUGCUGUGUUGUUAUUAUGUCAUCAAUUGCUACCCAGCCAUCUUAUUUACACAUUUAUAUCAAUUUCUUACCUUUAAUAUUUCUUUUUCCUCCUACACCUGUAGUUCUAUAUCUGUAUAGCCUGAACUUCUCAAGUUCAUUGCAGCCACGCUUCUUUCUGCUUUAAUAUCUACUUUUCCAA